rnacentral:lncRNA from 1 species
UAACUCAGACCGCAAAUGGUCGUUCUCUACCUCCUGCUCGCGGGCUCGAGCUUCCGACGCCUCAAGAGAUUUCUUCAAGGAAGAUAUCUUUUUCUUGUAGUAAUGAGCCUCAUUUUUCUUUUCCUCUGCAAGAGUCUUUAGCUCUAAGGCCUGGAGACGACUCGAUUCGGCAAGUCCGGUCUAAAGGGCCACCACCUAAAGGAUGAGAAGACAAUAUAAGAGUCGAGUGGUAUAACCAUGCAAAAAAAAAAGUGUAUAUACAUAUGUAUAGAAUUAGAAGCGUACCCUCUGGAGAUAGACCACCGCAGCCUCUCAAUAUCGUCUGCGCUACGUCCUGCGAUAGACCUGGUCCGC